rnacentral:rRNA from 1 species
CCUACGGGUGGCUGCAGUGGGGAAUAUUGGGCAAUGGGCGCAAGCCUGACCCAGCAACGCCGCGUGAAGGAAGAAGGCUUUCGGGUUGUAAACUUCUUUUCUCAGGGACGAAGCAAGUGACGGUACCUGAGGAAUAAGCCACGGCUAACUACGUGCCAGCAGCCGCGGUAAUACGUAGGUGGCAAGCGUUAUCCGGAUUUACUGGGGGUAAAGGGCGUGUAGGCGGGACUGCAAGUCAGAUGUGAAAACCACGGGCUCAACCUGUGGCCUGCAUUUGAAACUGUAGUUCUUGAGUACUGGAGAGGCAGACGGAAUUCCUAGUGUAGGGGUGAAAUGCGGAGAUAUGAGGAGGAACAGCAGGGGCGAAGGCGGUCUGCUGGAAAGCAACUGACGCGGAGGCGCGAAAGCGUGGGGAGCAAACAGGAUUAGAUACCCCGGUAGUC